GAGGUUAGUUGAAUGGGAUUCUUCUGACGGAUGCAUCCCACUGAAACUCGCUCGUGUUCGGCAACAGACAAAUCCGGCCGUCUAAAGCGCCCCCACGGCGGCUCCGUUCACCGUUAACUGCCUCUGUGCGGCGGAAGCUCUGCUGCUCAGCCAUGGCUGUUACAUCUUCCAUUCCUUAACAUCAAAUCUCAGCCAAGUUCAACAACCUUCCCUUCUCUUCCCUACUCAUUUCGUUCGGCAUCCUCAAAUAACACCGCACUUCGAUUUUGUUGCUUGGCAGCGUCUUCGAAUUGGGGCAAUUCUGUAAUUUUUCUGUUUCCGGAGCUGUACAAGGAGUUGAAGUCUCGGUACAGAAGGAUUGGAGGCUUGGACUGGCCAACCUGAACAAAAUCCAAGUAUGAGAACGGGGAAAAGCAAUCAGGAAGACGACGAGUACGAUGAGGAUGAGCUGGUUGGUAAAAGAGAGGGGCCUUCUUCUACUUCCAACGCUAUUAGUAGCAUCGGCAACAGCAAAGAUGCGAAGAACAACGAUAAGGCUAAUGCCAUACGGUCGAAGCACUCUGUGACAGAGCAGCGCAGAAGAAGCAAGAUAAAUGAGAGAUUCCAGAUUUUGAGAGAUCUUAUACCUCAUAGUGAUCAAAAGAGAGACACUGCCUCGUUUUUAUUGGAGGUGAUUGAGUAUGUUCAGUAUUUACAGGAGAAGGUGCAGAAGUACGAGGGUUCAUAUCAGAAUUGGAGUGGGGAACCUACUAAGCUAAUACCAUGGAGGAACAGUCAUUGGCGCAUGCAGACUUUUGUUGGGCAUCAACAAUCUGUAAAAAAUGGUUCUGCUUCAGGACCAACUUAUUCUGGGAAGUUUGAUGACAACAACAUUUCUAUUUCACCAGCCAUGCUUGCAAGCUCACAAAAUCCUCUCGACUCCCACUCUGGCAGAGAUAUUCUACAGGAAGCAGACAUAACAAAUAAAGUUCCACAUCCUAUGUCUCUGGAAGGAAAUAUGCAUGCUUCUAUUCGUAGCGACACUGUUCUUGAUCACUCUCUCCACAUCCCAAUUUCUGAUCCACAGGCAACAGAGUGUCCCAUCACCAACAAUGCAUCAAACCAACCAGAAGAGAUGGGUAUUGAAGGGGGGACAAUAAGCGUUUCAAGUGUUUAUUCAGAAGGGUUAGUUGAUUUGGUAACAGCUUUGGACCUUGGUGCCGAGCAGGUUUAUGAACAGCUUGGCUCAAGCUUUGCAGAGUACUGGACUGGAUUUGUCACAAGCUAGCAUCUCUGUUCAGAUUGAUCUGGGCAAGAGAGCAAAUAAGGGGAUGCCAUUUGGAACGCCUAUUUUUAAGGAAACUGGAAAUCCUUCCUCCAACCACCCAGCAAUGGCAAAUGUAGGGGACCUGGGCAGCGGAGAUGACUCAGAACAAGCAAAAAAGCGGCUAAGGACAUGAUAAUCUGCACCACGAGUCCUCGGUUAUUUCUGUUGUGCGAUUACUGUUUCUAAUGUGAAUUAGAAUGUGAUGCUUAUUGUACAGAUUCACUUUUUCUUCUUCUUUUAAUCUUCUUCCUUGACCUUUUAUACAAUUUCUUCAAACUCGUAUUGCUAUGAGUUAGAACAUCAGUGUUAGGAAAUCCAAAGUUAAAAUUUGGUAUUCACUACUCAAAUGUUAGAUUCUCCACUCUCCAUUGCUCUUAUGUUUGUAGUUGUAAUUACAAUAUUAAAAUGUGAACCUCCCAGAAAGAGCUUUAAAAAGGAGAUAUUAUUUCGGUUCUCUCUA